AUGGGGCUGCGGGCGAAAUUUUCCGAGCCUCCUCGCCUGCGGCGCCCCCUCCUCAGCUCCCUGAGCGCUCCCCUCCCCCGGGGCCCGCACACCCAGCCGAGGGAUGCAGGGUGCGCGGGGAUAUGCGAGGAUGCGCGGCGCUGCAGGCGCGGCCCAGGGCCCCUCGGGGGUCGCGUCACCGAGGAAGCGAAGCCGGGAGCUGGAUGGUCAAUGCCUUCCGCCCUGGGGGUAACAGUCCCCCUUCUCCAGCCCAGACCUCCCCAAAGCGCGCGCGGACCUCCCAAAGGAGCCGGGGGUGGGGUCCCCAAGCACCCCGCGCUCUCACCGCUUCUCCUCUGCUCUGCCUUCUUCUCCGGCUCAAGCUCCAGCCCGGUCGCCUCCUGGGCUCCCCCCGGAGUGGGAGGGAGCCUCGGUCCCGCCUCCGCGCCCUUUCUCUCCCAGGCCGCGCACCAGGGCGCUGGGCUUUCGGCGUGCGGACCUACUACCCUGCCGACCGACGGACGCGUGUGCCUGCUGCCGGACGCCGGAAUCCCGCGGCAGGGCUCUGGCUUUCAGCAGAUUCUUCUCCACGGAGGUUGUGACCCCAAAGAUUCAGAGUUGAUGCUGUAACACCCUUAUGUUACAGACAAGGAUCUGAGGAUUCCGGGAUGGAGAAGAAACUGGCUCAAAGUUACAUGGAAAUUUAGCAGCAAGUUGGAAAGAACCCAUGACUCCAGACUGUAUAAUGCUAUUUAAGGUCUGACUAAAUGUCACCUCCUGCAGGAAGCCUUCCCUGAACUUGUCCCAUCUUCCUCUGUGUUCCUUUGCACAUACCUUGAUGUGACACCCUAUAUCACAAUGAGCCACUUCAAUGGAAUUUGUCCCUGCUAGAAUGAGCCAUCCAUGAGAUCGGAGACUGUGUCUUACUCAUCUUUGUGUGGUGUGGCUGGUGUUUAUUACUUAAUCGCUAUCGUUUAUUGAGUGCCUAUUAUGUGCCAAGGCACUUUUGUAAUGCUCAUUCCAUUUCACAGUUGUCCCACAAGGUAGGUAAUAUUGUCCUCAUUUCACAUAUGGAAAAAAAUCUCCUGGAGCUCAGAGGUUUGCCCAAGUUCCCACAGAGAGUGAGUGGUAGUGCUGAGAUUUGAAUCCCAAACCCUUUUGCACCUCCCACUUCACCAGUGGUGUUUUUUCAGUCGUUAAUGAGUAGCAUCCCGCUGAGGAUCUGGAGCAGCAGGGCCCUAAUGGCCCCCUCUCCACUGGGCUCUGGAGCAUCUGGAAGUACAAAGCCCUGCUCCCAGGGCUUCCUGGGAGAAAAGGAUUCUAAGGAGGUGAAAGGAAUCUUUGAGGAGCUCACAAACCCCUGGGGAGAUGGCUCAGACACCAGUAGAGAAGCCAGUAGAACAAAAGCAAUCCAUCAUGAACUCUUUAAAAUUUACUGUAUGCCUGCAUGACAUGCCUAGCAGAGGAAUCCCAGGAUUUUCUCUUCUGUGUGUUUCUGUCUUGCUUCCUUGCGGCCAUAAUACCAGCUGAGGUCGUCAGUACAAUUACUUCCAACUGAUGAGAUUGGAGAAGACAAUUCUGCUACUUUUCUAGAUCUUUGAGUUACACAUCCAACCUGGGUCUGACUAUGCUUCUUUAACCUGUAUAUGAGGGAACUUCCAUAUGUGUGGGUGCAGCCCUAAAAAGCAAAAACAAAGAAACAUUGUUGGUGGGCAUGUGAAUUGGUGCAACCAUGUUGGGAAAUAGUCUGGCUUUAUCUCCUAAAGCUGAGCAGAUACAUAUCCUAUGACCCAGCAAUUUUCUUUUCUUUUUUUUUUUUUUUUUUUUUUUUUNUUUUUAGGGCCACACCUGUGGCAUAUGGAUGUCCCCAAGCUAGGGGUCUAAUUGGAGCUACAGCUCCCAGCCUACACCACAGCCAUAGCAACACGCUGGAUCCGAGCCGCAUCUGCGACCUACACCACAGCUCAUGACAAUGCCAGAUUCUUAACCCACUGAGCAAGGUCAGGGAUUGAACCCUCAACCUCGUGAUUCCUAGUCGGAUUCACUUCCAUUGUGCCACGAUGGGAACUCCUAACCUAGCAAUUCAAAUCCAAAGUACCCACUGUGGAAAAAUUCUUGCCCAUCUACACCAAGAACUACAUGGAAGACUAUUCACGGGGGUGCUGGCCACAGUAGCCCAAAUUGGGAAACACCCACGUCCCCAUCUAUGGGAGAGCAGAUGAAUAAAUUCCCAUGAUAAAAUAUUACUUGGCA
rnacentral:lncRNA from 1 species